UACGUAGGGGGCAAGCGUUGUCCGGAAUCAUUGGGCGUAAAGAGCGCGUAGGCGGUCCGGUAAGUCCGCUCUGAAAGUCCGGGGCUCAACCCCGGGAGGCGGGCGGAUACUGGCGGGCUAGAGUCCGGAAGAGGCGAGUGGAAUUCCUGGUGUAGCGGUGAAAUGCGCAGAUAUCAGGAGGAACACCGGUGGCGAAGGCGGGUCUCUGGGCCGUAACUGACGCUGAGGAGCGAAAGCGUGGGGAGCGAACAGG
rnacentral:rRNA from 1 species